rnacentral:tRNA from 1 species
GCCUGGGUGGCUCAGUUGGUUGAGCGUCUGGCUUCAGCUCAGGUCAUGAUCUCAUGGUUUGUGAGUUCAAGCCCCAUGUCGGGCU